CAGAGCUCUCUUUUCUCUCUACUGAACCCCUUCUUGUGUUUUAUCUCCUUAUCUUUACGAAUGAAAACUUGCACAAAUAUAAGCCAAUUCAUUGUUCAUACAACGCAAAACAUUAUAAGAAACAGGAAAAUAUGCGUAUACCAUUAUAGAUACAGCCCUAUCUUGCCCCUGGUCUUGUUAUAUUCACCCCUCCCUUAACUUCAGUUGAUAACAUUUCCCACUUCACAUUGCAUGCACCACCUGUCAUUGAGCAAAAUUCUUGCUUUGCUCAUGAUUAGCCCUCAUUACUGUAUUCCUCUGCACAAAAAUAUUGUUCAGAAAAUCUUAGUAGCAUCCCCAACAAAUCAAUCACAUAAUGGUUUGAUGAAAUUCUAAUUGACCAUCAGCAUAUAAAGAGGCGAGGGCAAUGAGAAAGCAUAACUAACCAGUUUGAUUCCUUUUUGGCACCAUCAUGAUUCAUGAAUCCUGUCCUCUGUUCAGUUUCAUCUCCCACUUCCAUACCACAAGAGACUUGACCGAGGUAAAAACAUGAGGAAUUCUUAUACAUUGCAAGUAAAUAUUAGUUUGCUAUGAAAAUGAAAAGUUUCUUUGAGUGCAGAAGUCAGAGGAAUUGACGCACUUAUGACCAUUACAGUAUGCAGAU
rnacentral:lncRNA from 1 species